rnacentral:lncRNA from 1 species
AAAGAGUGAAGAAGAAAGAAAAUCAAGAUAUUAUUAUUUUUUCCUCCUCUUUUUCUCGUGCUUUUUGUUUUCUUAUUUUGUUCUUCUCCUCCUUAGAAAAAUAGAGAAACUGGGAGGGCUCUAAGGCUGACCACCCUCAUCCUCCAUACCAGUGAUCCCCGGCACUGAUAGCGGCUAUGGCACCAACCCUCGGUAAAGGACACCACGACCGCUUUGGCCUCG